rnacentral:rRNA from 1 species
GUAAAGAUUUUAAGGGCGUACGGUGGAUGCCUUGGCGAUAUCAGCCGAAGAAGGACGCGGUAAGCUGCGAUAAGCUACGGAGAGGUGCAAGCAACCUUUGACCCGUAGAUUUCCGAAUGGGGGAACCCGGCAGUGGUUAUGCACUGUCACCCAUACCUUUGAGUAUGAGGAGG